rnacentral:rRNA from 1 species
AAUAGAUACCCUGGUAGUCCACGCCGUAAACGGUGGGCACUAGGUGUGGGCAGCAUUCCACGUUGUCCGUGCCGUAGCUAACGCAUUAAGUGCCCCGCCUGGGGAGUACGGCCGCAAGGCUAAAACUCAAAGGAAUUGACGGGGGGCCCGCACAAGCGGCGGAGCAUGUGGCUUAAUUCGACGCAACGCGAAGAACCUUACCAAGGCUUGACAUACACCGGAAACAUCCAGAGAUGGGUGCCCCCCUUGUGGUCGGUGUACAGGUGGUGCAUGGCUGUCGUCAGCUCGUGUCGUGAGAUGUUGGGUUAAGUCCCGCAACGAGCGCAACCCUUGUCCCGUGUUGCCAGCAGGCCCUUGUGGUGCUGGGGACUCACGGGAGACCGCCGGGGGUCAACUCGGAGGAAGGUGGGGACGACGUCAAGUCAUCAUGCCCCUUAUGUCUUGGGCUGCACACGUGCUACAAUGGCCGGUACAAAGAGCUGCGAUACCGUGAGGUGGAGCGAAUCUCAAAAAGCCGGUCUCAGUUCGGAUUGGGGU